rfam:Asian citrus Psyllid, Diaphorina citri - Florida Strain, whole genome shotgun sequence.
GCUCCCAUGGUGUAGUGGUCAUUGCGCUCGCCUAGCACGCGGGAAACCCUGGUUCGAUUCCCGGCGGGGUCA